AUUACAACCUACCAUGAUAUAAAAAUGAAGCCCAUUCAAUUUUAUUAAGCGAAAAAGAGACGAGGAGAAAGAGGAAUCCGGCGAGGGGGAUCCGCAAGGAUCAACUAAAACAUUUUCACAAGGUUUACCUGAGGUGCCUAAUGUUAGGGAUGCUGAAAACAACUUUAGCGAAGCUGCUGAGAACAAUGUUAGCGAAGCUACCGUGACCCCCGCUGUCACUUCAACCUCCACUGUAGCCGGCGUAGGAAGAACAUAUAGAUUCAAUGCGAAUUGGCUCAAAAUGUUCCCAUGGCUAGAGUUAGAAAACAACGUCAUGUUCUGGAAAUAUUGUAGAGGCCAGAAAGACUCAUCAUUCGUGUCAAGUAACCCGCAUCUGAAAAGAGAACAUCUCGCGGCGGCAUAUCCAUUGCAGAGAUCUGUACCUGUUGAGACAGUGUCAGCAGCAUUGAGGAGGCAAGUGCUGCUGUCUGAGGAGAAGAGGAGGCAGCUGAAAUUGAAGAUAAACAUUGCAUAUUCAUUGUGAAGGAAGAAACUUUAGUCAAAUUUGGGCCGCUUAUCAGAUUUCACCACAAAAACGGAGUUGACAAUGAGGUAAAAUGUGCGAAGAUGAUCGGUCAAAUUGUUGACAUAAUGACAUGCUGACCAAACCCGACACGUCGCGUACGCGAGCGUCGCAAAUUCAAUUUAGAAAUCCAUGUUAUUCAAUUAUUGCGCGCCAACGAGCGUCUGCGACACCAAGGGCUAAAAUAGAACUCAUUCCUAUUUCUGACGCAGAUCGCGCUGAAAGACCUGCCUCGCCCAUCUCCUCGUUGGUUUAUAGAAGCAGGUACCCACGUGCCAACUCCUCAUUGGUUAUACCCACGUGGGUGACUGAAAGACAAACUGUUUUGCCGGUAAUACAAUUAAAGUUUAGAUGAGAUCACCAUAUAAGUUAAACGAUGAAAAAGCCUGGAAGGAGGAGAGAUGACUAGAAACGAUUCGUUUGGCCGUUGAAUGUGUGAAUUAAUUGUCGGAGUAGAGGUCCUUGUGCAUAUCAGGUGUUUUGGAUGUCACCAAGGCUGCAGUUUGUCCAGAGGAGGAUGGAGGGUCAUGGAUGAAGAAGUGCAUCUCCUUCGGGGCAGAUGGUGCCUCCGUGAACAUGGACCACCGUGGGGGGGUGAUUGCCCACCUGCAGAGAGAGGCAGUGGGGCAUAUAAUCCCAAUCCACUGUAUAGAGCCCUCAGUGUUCCUGCAGCAUGGACAAGACAAGGACCUUGCCGACGAAGGCCAGUACUUCGUUGUUCUGCAGGACCUGGCAGUAGUAUGAACAACAGCGGAAGUUCAAGGGCGGGCAAAGAAGUUCAGUUUUACACAAGAAAUAUAAAGCGGGAAAUGGAGAAUGCACUCGUGUAUUCUGCCAUUUUCUCUCAGACAUGUUUGAGGAGCUAUCCUCACUUAGCCUCACCCUGCAAAGGAAUGACCUGAUCCUCCCCCAAGCCACAUCAUGAGAGAGGGAAUAACACUGAAGGGGAAUCUGAAAGGCUUCAUGGACCUCACCAAUCCCCAUCUGAAGCAGCACAUGGAGCCGACUAUAACAUCGGCGUGGAUGAUCUCAAAGCCAGUAUUGGUGGUUUGCUGAAGGAUGAGCGUGUCCAGACCCCAGUGGAGUCUAUCAAAGUGCUAAACCCUGACACAUGGCCAGAAGACCAGGCCAGCCUUCUCACAUUUGGCGAUGAUGGUGUGGCAGACCUGAUGAGGCAUUUCAAGGAGCCCUAGAUAGAUCGGAGUGCAACAUGGCUGCAAUCCAGGAUGAGUGGCAGGGGCUGAAAAUCCUGGUCAGCCACAAUUUCAAGUACAAGUCCUGUGGGAGAUCAUGUUGACAAAGGACCCCUACAGGCACAAUUACAAGGUAGGCUAACAGUCCUGAGUGGUUAUGAAUGGUAUACAAUAUCUCUCUCAUCAUCACUCAAGACCUAGGUUUACCUCCACUGUAUUCACA